AUUGAACGCUGGCGGCAGGCCUAACACAUGCAAGUCGAGCGGCAGCGGAAAGUAGCUUGCUACUUUGCCGGCGAGCGGCGGACGGGUGAGUAAUGUCUGGGAAACUGCCUGAUGGAGGGGGAUAACUACUGGAAACGGUAGCUAAUACCGCAUAAUGUCGCAAGGCCAAAGAGGGGGACCUUCGGGCCUCUUGCCAUCAGAUGUGCCCAGAUGGGAUUAGCUAGUAGGUGGGGUAACGGCUCACCUAGGCGACGAUCCUUAGCUGGUCUGAGAGGAUGACCAGCCACACUGGAACUGAGACGCGGUCCAGACUCCUACGGGAGUCAGCAGUGGGGAAUAUUGCACAAUGGGCGCAAGCCUGAUGCAGCCAUGCCGCGUGUAUGAAGAAGGCCUUCGGGUUGUAAAGUACUUUCAGCGGGGAGGAAGGUGUUGAGGUUAAUAACCUCAGCAAUUGACGUUACCCGCAGAAGAAGCACCGGCUAACUCCGUGCCAGCAGCCGCGGUAA
rnacentral:rRNA from 1 species